AGGCUACGACAAACACCGAAGUGUGCAAAUCAGCCAAUAGAGAAACCUUGGUGACUUCUGAUGGUUACUCGACUACAAGUGAAAUACACAGUUGAAGCCAAGCGGUUCUUAUAGAACCCAGCAAGCAGAUUUAAAGCUUAUAAGCAACAUCAGAAAAAAAAUGCAUAUAAAAGAACUCAUAUUCUUAAAUUUAAGAAUGACGCUAGUUCUGAUGCGAUUAAGGUAAGUUCAAUAAUUUUCUAUCAAAAAUGGAUACAUAUAAUGUCUAUAUAUGUACAUGUGUAUAUAAUAGUAAGGACUUCAGUUUCUCAAAAGUAUUUUCCCAACAUCGCUAAAUUCUGAAAACCUCUUAGUAGUUUAUCUCCACAGUUUAUAUCUAAAUUUCGUCCGGAACUUCAUCUCAAAUACUACAGCUGAACUUACGUAUACUAAAUAUUUAUUAUUUCCCAA